AUUGAACGCUGGCGGCAGGCCUAACACAUGCAAGUCGAGCGGAUGAAGGGAGCUUGCUCCUGGAUUCAGCGGCGGACGGGUGAGUAUUGCCUAGGAAUCUGCCUGGUAGUGGGGGAUAACGUCCGGAAACGGGCGCUAAUACCGCAUACGUCCUGAGGGAGAAAGUGGGGGAUCUUCGGACCUCACGCUAUCAUAUGAGCCUAGGUCGGAUUAGCUAGUUGGUUGGGUAAAGGCCUACCAAGGCGACGAUCCGUAACUGGUCUGAGAGGAUGAUCAGUCACCCUGGAACUGAGACACGGUCAAGAGUACUACGGGAGGCCGCAGUGGCGAACAUUGGACAAUGGGCGAAAGCAUGAUACAGUCAUGCCGCGUGUGUGACGAAGGUCUUCGGAUUGUAAAGAACUUUAAGUUGGGAGGAAGGGCAGUAAGUUAAUACCUUGCUGUUUUGACGUUAAUAACAGAAUAAGCACCGGCUAACUUCGUG
rnacentral:rRNA from 1 species